UUAUAGUGUUGUGUCAAUUUCUGCUGUAUAGUAUAGCAAUCCAGUCAUAUAUAUAUAUAUAUAUAUAUACAAUCUUUUUCUCAUGCUAUCUCCCAGCACAUUCUAUCCAUCCUGUAAAGCCCUAGGGAGAGACUCCUUGGUCCUGACAAAGGAGACAGACCGAAAACUAAAGCGGCUUUUCUUUUUAGGUGAAAGGGAGUAGUGUUUUACCUGGACCAGUCUCAGCAUUAUUUAGGGUUCUGGAAUCAUCAAUAUUACUUGCCUCUUGGAGUGGAGGUCAUUUGGGACAUCCGCUCAUGGCUGCUUUGAUGGGGGACCCAGAGGCCCUUGGCUGGACGAGGGAGCCCCAACCUCUAAGGGGGACAGCAUGAGCUGUUUACAGGCAACACUCUUGGCAGCGGGAGAACCAGCUCCUCUGUCCUGAGGAGAGUCUGGGUGGUGCAUGUCUGCACCCACCUCAUAAGCCAGGUGAGGAUAAGCCAGCGGAACAAAGGCCAGGAAAAAGAAGGUUCCAGGGGCGUGAUGCAGUGCUCAGAGCUCUGAAGGGCCAUCCUGUGCUCUGGGAAGCAUACUGGUUCUGCAGGAUCCCAUGGGCCAGCCCAGCCACUGUGGGCAAUAAUUAUAAGACAAAUUUCACCUCAAUCGAAGGAAGACCCUUUGAGCCAUCUGACUCACAGGAGAUAGACUCGCAUCACUCUCUGAAGGGGUUGAGCUUCCCACCUCUAAGGUCUGCAUGCAGAGACUGUCCCACCAAUGGUUGAAGCUGUUGUUGAAGGAAUUUAAGUUCAUUCCAAUCUUGAACUCUAGCCAUACGGACAAUUCCUGCCUGACCAGUCCAGCCAAUGAACUUUGAGUAGCCCUGCUCUUAGGCCUCAAUGGCAAUGCCCUUGCUCUGGGUCCUGUUUCCUUUUAAGGUUCCAAGUGAGAUGCUGGAUGGGUCUGAAGAAAGAGACGACAGGGUGGGUGGAUUUAAUGCCUGUGCAGCGAGCCGUGGAGUCCAUGGUGACGUGGGCUGUCCUCCAGAAGGAACCCUGUGUGCCGAGCCUCCCUGCUGUCACCGCGUGCCCUUCCAGCUGGAACGUGCAUCCGCCAAUUCUGGGCCCAAACGGGUGUGCGUCCCUCUGUGUGUACACAGACACGCACAAGAGCUCUUCCCAACACAAAUAUAUAUUUAAGAUUUACUGUUCUGGAAAACCUAGUGAAUAAUGUAAAUGAUGAAAGCCUGCGUCUGGCAGAAAAUAUUGUUCAGGCUGCCUCAUUGAAAUUCAGCCUCUCAUGCACACUUGGUAAUACACACGCCAUAUGAAUUAUGGAUUCUGGGCUUUAUCUCUCACACGACACAUGAAUGUUUGAUAAAGAUUGUUUCCAAUAUUAUAUUUUGUCAAAAUGCUCAUCUAAAAUUCAGUCAAAAAUGCUUUCCGGUAAUUAUGCACUGACUUCACAGGGAGCAGGGAAGGAGAGGGAGAAAGUGCCCCUCUGUGGGGUCAUUGCUUUGUGUGUAUGUGUGUGUGUGUGUGUCUUUUUUUACCCUGGGUAUUUUUGCUGAAGGGGAGAGGGAGACUGACAGUGUUUGUGCUGAAAUUCUUUAUUCCUCCUGCACGCCCUCAUUACAGAAGCAGCUACAAUAAGGUCUACCCUUCGCUUUGCAGACACUUGGUAGUUCAUUCGUUCCUUGGAUAUUUUAAAAUUCACUGCUGGCUCAUUGGCAGCAUGGCUUUAGUCUGUCCUUCCAGCAACUCAUGCUCCCCAGAACUUCCAGCUGAUCUUCUCCAAUGCACAUUCUUAGCUCUCACUCCUCAACCCCACCCUCCACCUCCCUCCAGUGGCUCUUCAUCUCUUAUGACAGAGAUGGCAGAUCCCCACACACAGACUGCCAGCUCCGCUCCUGAAGCCAGAGCAGGCAUCACUAGGGAUUGUGUCGCUCUUCCCCCCUGAAUCCACAGCAGAAUCCUCCUUAGCACGAGAUCCGGGCAACCACUAUCAAUCAGAUGAAGAUGACAUACAAAAGGAAACUGAUUUAUGCUUUGAAGGUAAGUUCAACCUCUGGAGUGUGGCAUUCUAGCCCUUGAUGAUCUUUCCACAGCCUCUGGUUCAAUCUCAUCUCCAGUCAUUCCCUUUCUACCCUCUCCAUGUUCUCUGGACCCACUCUGUGCUUGAGCUCCUGUUUUCCCAUCUGUAGAAUGCUCUUUCUUCAUCCCCCAUCUCCUUGGCACACUUGUACACAUAUGACAAGACCUCUAUAAAGCCUCGCUCCCCUCCCCCGGUCUGGAUACUCUGUCUUCUGUGAUCUCAGAGCACUCUCUCUGUCUAUCUCUCUCCACGUAUCAGAGAGUACCAUACCCCCAAGGAAGUUUACUAAUGGGAUUGCUGGAGUGUGAAGAUGCUGCCUAAGCCAGUCACCAGGAGGAACUUAGCAGAUGUAGGUUGGGUCACGGUACAAAGGAAACUUGGGUUCUGUGCUCACAAAUGGCCCUGGCCUUCAUGGAUCUACAGCACAGAAGAUGUGACAUUCGUAACCUAGAUAUGGGCAAGAUGUCCCUUUUACUUCCCAGUAUCGAGGAAAAUUACUAUGUAUUUGGUAGCUAUGGCUUUCAGAAAAUGUGAGGCAGGCAAGCAUCCUUGGAGGUGGCCAGUGUUCACCGAAACAUUCCUUACCUCUGCGGGGGUCCAUCUCCUCCCCAGCCCCCUUCAGUGUCAGCCUUGAUGCCUCCCUCUCCCUCUGCACUCACUACCCACCAGGAAUGGGGCAUCCAUCCCAGUCACCCUUUGAAUCCCUCCCCUCCUCUCUCCCUGCUGCCCCACCGUGCUGCAGGCUGUCAAUGUCUCUCCUAGAGAAGACUGAGGCGGCCUGGUGUCUCCCUGCCUCCUCCAUCCCUCCUCCAACCCUCUCUCCAUCAGCAGCCAGUGUGAUCUUCCUAAACCCAAAUCUGAUCCUCUUACUCCCCGCAAAGAACCCUUUGAUGCAUCUCCAUUUCCCUUAGGCUAAAGGCCAACUUGCUCUCUGUGGCUUGAAGAGAAGUAUUCAUAAUAAUGAGUGAUCAGUAAGGCCUGGGCAUCACCCAUCAGAAGGAAUGGGGUGAAACAACCAUGAAGGCCAAGCAUCAAGGAUUAGCUCAAGAUGAGUCAGAAGAGAAGGCCCAGGCCCAGGUCCUACCCUGACUAGUCUCUGCAGCCACAGCAGUCUCUCCCCUAUACUUACACUCUGUCCUCCAGCCCACUCCUCUCCCCUCAGUGUCCCCUCAGCAGGGAGAACACCAUGUUAUAGCAGAGCGCGGGGUGCAAAGUAGGUGUUUUAAAAAUAUGUGUUGGAUUUGAUGGAAGGCCAGGAAAUGUGGCAGCCCCAGGGGUCCAUCAGGAAAGUCUGCUGUAGCAACAAGCAAGGCUCCCCACGUAAGAGCCAGGCCUGUGAGCUGGAGCUGACAAAUGCAGCUUCAGAAGUGCGGAAGCAUGUGAGCAGGGGUGCUGACAGCCCCUAAGCCAAGCGCUGAGCAAACGCUGUUCUCUAGACAUCGAAUAUUUCAAUAUAACUGGUGUAAGAAUUACAGCCCCGGAUUUCAGCUGUUCCCAGGAGGGCUGGGAGCAGAGUGUAUGCCAACAGGGAAAAUCCCUGUGAGAAUCCCGGAUGUGUUUGUUGUAUAGUUUGUAUCUACAGCCUUCCUGUCUUUCUUCCACAAACGCUGCCUGCCUGCGAUUCAUUGCCAGGCCCCAUGCUGGGAGCUGGGGGUACAAUGCUGGAGACUGCAGACCUCCUCUUUCAAAGCUCUCACAUCUAGUGGGUCAAUCAGACAAGUGAGCAGAUAUGCUCAGCAGUUGGGAGAAGAGCCCAGAGGUGGAGGACCCUGCUGAGACAGGGCAGCAGAAACCCGCAUAUCUAGGAAAAAGGGCAUCAGGGCUAAGUCCAUAAGGAUGAGCAGGAGUUUGAUGAGUGGGGGUUGAGAGAAAGGACAGGCAUUUCAGGCACCAGGAACAGAACAUCCAAGGGUCUGAAGGCCGAAGGAAACAUUGGAAUUGGAUAAAUUUACAAAGAGUUCAGCAAGACCAACACCAAGGGCCAGAUGAAAGGUUUAUGUGCUGAGAUCAGGAGUCUGGACACUUCCCUGAGGUUUCAAAAGGGCAGAGUAUACACAGGCCAUUCAGGGAGUCAAAGCUAGAACUGGACCUUGAACCUAUCUGUGAAAAACGAAACAAAUAAAUCUCUAGCGAAACUAAUUAAGAAACAAAGCACAAACACAUAUCAUUAGAAAUGAAAAUGGGGAAAUAACCACAUAGAGAGGAAAUUCAAAGAAUGAUAACAUUACUCGGUUUUGAAAACAGGUUUGAAACAUGAACAAAAUGGGUGAUUUUCUAGAGAUAUAAAUGAUGAAAACUAAUUUUGUAAUAGAUAGGAAAUCUAAACAGUCCAGUUACCAGAGAGGAAAUUGGGAAUGUUGUCAAAGAGCCACUAUCCACUAAAGUACCAGACCCAGACAGCUUCCCAGGUAAAAUCUAUCGCAAGUUCAAGAAACAGAUACCUGCAAUGCUAUUUAAAGUAUUCCCAAACACCAUGGAGAGUGGGAAAGGACUUUUAAAUGAAUCGAAGAAUCCAGUAUAACGGCAAAAGCAAAAUCCAAAAAAAGAGCACCACCACCAAUAAACUAUAGUCCUGUCUUUAAGACAGUGUAAAUGCAAAAUUCUAAAAAAUAAUACUAGCCAAGAGAACACAAAUGUGUUUUAAAAGGAUAAUAUGCCACCACCAUUAUUCCAUAAUGCAAGGAUGGCUCUCUGUGAGUGGAUCAAUUAAUAUAAUUCACAAUAUCCAUCAUCACUAAGAAAACCAUAUAAUUCUCCAUAUAUUCUGGGAAGGUAGUUGAUAAAAAUUCAACUAUGAUUCCUGAUUAAAAACUCUUCAUAAACUGAGACAACAUGGAACUUCCUUAGUUUGAAUUUUUACAUAUAUAUUUACAUAUACAUUAUGUGUGUGUGUAUACACCUGUACAUGUAUAUGUGUGUGUGUGUAUUGUAUAUAUAAUUAUUCAAGCUGAGUUACACAAUCAUUUCUGAUGGAAUCCUUUUCAUUAGAAUCAGAGAGAAGCAAAGAAUGCCAUUGUAAUUUGCUCAUUGUGCGAGUCUUCACCCCUUCCAGUGUCCUUGUCCUUAGCCAUAUGAUUUUGCACUUGCUCCUCCUACAAGACAAGGUACCUUUCCUAUCCCACUUACGUUCAGUUUAGCCAUGUGACUUGCAUGGGCUGAUGAAAAGUAGGCAGAAAUGACAGAGUGCCAAUGCUGAGCACUGACGUAAGACACAUCAUAUAUUUCUACUCACCAAUUUUGUAUUUCCAUCAUCAUCGUAGAAGAGGAUAUCACGUUUUCUAACUGGUUGGGGAGGAUGAAAGACACACAGAGCAGACCUGGACCACUUGCAGCCUUGAGCCAAGUCCAGUCAAGCACCCCUCAGUCGACCUGCAGAUACAUGAACACGGAUAAAUGAUUGUUUUCAACCAUUGAACGUUGAAUGCCUUGUUAUGCAGCAUUAUUGUAAGCUGAUACGUCCAUUGUCAUGACAAUUAUUAAACAUUGUUUUUGACCCACUUGCCAAUGCAACUAAAUAUCAGAAAGAAUUAGGAGGGAGAGCACUGAAAUGAUGCAAAAUGAUCAUCUUUUGUUGGUUAUCAGAUUGUACACUUUUAAAACAAGGGAAAAAAAUCCCAGUUUUUAAAAAAGCUGUGAAAAACCUUUAAAGGACUUUAGUAAGAAUUAAUAUAUUUUUUAAAAUCAAUAGCUUUUCUGUAGAAAAAUAAUCAAUUAGAAAUUUAAAUGAAGGAGUUCCCGUCGUGGCACAGUGGAAACGAAUCCGACUGGGAACCAUGAGGUUACAGGUUCGAUUCCUGGCUUCACUCAGUGGGUUAAGGAUCCAGCGUUGCUGUGAGCUGUGGUGUAGGUUGCAGACGUGGCUCGGAUCUGGCGUUGCUGUGGCUGUGGCGUAGGUUGGCAGCUGUAACUCCAAUUAGACCACUAGCCUGGGAAACUCUAUGUGCCGUGGGUGAGGCCCUAAAAAGACAAAAGAAAAAAAAUUAAAUGACAAUCCCAUUUACAGUAAUAACAAGAUUUUAAAAACCUAAAAACAUGCUAAACACAAAAUGUGCUUAAUCUAUAGAAAAAAAUUAUCAAACUCUACUAAAGGACAUAAAAUAAGACCUUGAUAAGUGAAAAUACACCCUGUUCUCAUAUUGGAAAAGUCCUGUUGGAUAGAUUCCACUUCUCUAAAUUAAUCUAUAUUAGUGGAAUCCAAAAGUCCCAACAGUUAACACACAGGCAUGUGACCUAGACUCUGCCAACCCCAGGUAGCCCCAUGUAAGACUCGAAUUAGGAGAAGGUAAUAGGAAAGCAGGUACCAUCUCAUCUGAGUUGAUGAGGGAGGUGUCAGACAUCAGUGCCAUCAGGGAGGGCUGCAGCUUUGUGUCGAGAGGGGGAAGAAGCAGUGGCAUCUUCCCCAGAAUAGGACCUCCAGGGAGGCAAGUGCCAGCUUCCUGGCUGCACAGCCACCAGAUCUGAUUCUCUGGCCUUCCCGAAGAGUCCCCACCACCACCCAACCCAAUAGUCUUUAAUAAAUUCCUUUUCUGCUCCAGUUGGCAGAGUAGGUUUCUUUGCAAUUUCUCAUCUGACACACAAACUAAAUGAAUAGGAUAUAAGGUCCAGAAAUAGGCCACAUAUGUCUGGAGGGAAUAUCAGUGAUGAUAGUCAGCAUUUUAUUGAGAACCUACUCUGUGCCAGGCAUUGUUGUUCUACAUACUUGUUAUUAUCUCAUUAGCUCUUCCAACAAUGCUACAUUAUUAUUUUCAUCUUACAAAUCUGGUUACCAAGGUACAGAGAAGCUCCUGCAACCCAUUUAUAAUAUAAAGUUGACAUUUUAGUUCAUUAGGAGAAAGAAGCAUCACUCAAUAAAUAAUUUGAGGCUAGCCAGCUGGAAAAAUAAUGUGGAUCUCUAUCUCACUCCUUGCACUAAAACUGAUCACCUUGGAAAGAAAAAAAUUAAGCAAUAAAAUAAGUAAAAGAAAAUAUAAGGCUAUGUUCCAUAAUGUUAACGAAGGCUUUUCAAAGACGCAAAAUUCAGAAGCCAUUUAAAUACUGAUGAGGUUGAUCACGUUAACAUGAAAUAAUUCAUCCUGGCAAGAGGAAGGAGUGGAGACAAACCCAGAUCAAAGUAAUAGCAGCCCAUCUGACAAUGGGCUAAUAUAUGUAAAGAAAUCUUGGAACUCAAUAAGAAAAACAACAGCAAUUCAAUGUAAAGAAAGAGCAAGGGUAUUUCACAGAAAUAAAUACUUAUAUACAUGACAGAUAAUCUCUCCUAUUUUUGAAUGUGGAAAGCAAAAUAAUAAUGUGGUAUAAUGUUUCACUUAUUAAAUUGAUAACUGAAAAACUCAAUAAUGUGCGUUGUUGAAGAUGUCAUGAGGAAAUAGGUAUGUCCACCUGUUAUGGAAUAAAGGUCAUGUAAGGACAGUUUUACAAUAGAUAUUUUAAAAUUGACAUGCAUUUUGAACCUGCAAAUCUCACAGAACUAUGUCCUGUGGACACACUUGUGCAUGGACAUAAACAUAUAUGUACACGAAGGCUGCAGUAACGAUGUUUAUAAGAGCAAAACCCUAAAGACCACCUAAAUGUCCAUCAUUAGGGAACCUGGUUAAACAACUUGAUACACAAUAAUGACAAGGAAUAAGGCAGAGGCAUUGUCCCUAAGACAAAGUCUUUUUUUUUUUUUUUAAACAAAAUCAAGGUGCACAUCACUGUAUCAACUAGGUGCUGUCCACUAAAGCUUUCUGUGAUAAUGGAAGUGUUCUGGAUCUGUACUGUCCAGUAGGGUAGCCACCAGCCACAUUCAGCUGGUGAUGCUGGAUGUGCAGCUAGCGUGAAUGAGGAACUAAAUCUCUCAUUUUAAUAGUAAUUAAUAUUAACUUAAAUUUAAAUAGUCACGUGUGCUGGAUAAUACAGGCUGAGAAUAGUUACGUUUGCGCAUGUGAACAAAAUAGCAUUUCUGAAAAAAAGGUAAAAUGGGUAAGAGUCAUGGCCCUUGCCAAGGAGAACUGGGGUGUCAGAUGUUUCUGGGGAUAAGGAGGGUUUUUUGGUCUAUUUAUAGCAUGAAUAUCUGAGCAGUUUACCAUGUGUGGACUGACCCAUUUCAUACUGAACUAAUGCACCGAUGUUCAAAAAGGAGAGUUAGGAAGUUCCCAAGGGAGGCUUGGGUAUUUUUUCCUGUGAAAUAGCAGUCCCAGUGGUCUGUGAGGGUGCAGGGAGGGCUUGUGGGCGAUCCAGCUCCUGGAGAGAGUCAGUUGUUUGGGUCAGAGGUUGAGGAAAAGGAAGGGGCCAACAAACCCUAAAUGAAGGACUCCUGAGCUGAGCUGUGGGAAGCAUCUUGCCACCCUUGGAAGCCAACAUCCAUGAAGAACGAAGCCAUGCAGCUGAAUGAUU
rnacentral:lncRNA from 1 species